UACGGAGGAUCCAAGCGUUAUCCGGAAUCAUUGGGUUUAAAGGGUCCGUAGGCGGUUAGAUAAGUCAGUGGUGAAAUCCGGCAGCUUAACUGUCGAACUGCCAUUGAUACUGUUUGACUUGAAUUACUGUGAAGUAACUAGAAUAUGUAGUGUAGCGGUGAAAUGCUUAGAUAUUACAUGGAAUACCAAUUGCGAAGGCAGGUUACUAAUGGUUUAUUGACGCUGAUGGACGAAAGCGUGGGGAGCGAACAGGAUUAGAUACCCUGGUAGUCCACGCUGUAAACGAUGGAUACUAGCUGUUGGGAGUAAUUUCAGUGGCUAAGCGAAAGUGAUAAGUAUCCCACCUGGGGAGUACGAACGCAAGUUUG
rnacentral:rRNA from 1 species